GACUGGUUGAUUUAGGGGUAUGAUUCUCACUUUGGGCGCGAGAGGUCCCGUGUUCAAAUCACGGUCGAGCUCA